AAAUUAGUAAAAUGUUCGAAUACAUCCAAUCUUCUCCCCACUGAUUUUGGUAUUGGCCAUAUUUGGUAGUGAGGGGAAAUGCCAAGCGGAAGCUUCAAAUAGAUACAUCCGGUGAAAUAUUUGUCUCAUUGUUCUGUGGUAAAAACCUUUUUGGCUUCGCGUCUUCACGGCCCGGUCCACAUCUGGGAGGGUCAACCGGGUCGAUGCAGCGACAAGACGGGAAGUGGAUGAACUUGCGCCACUAAACGAUAUAUUUUCACAGUACGCAAAUGACCUGAUUUUUUUUAAAUUAAUUUUAUUUUUGGAAACCCAUCACCAAUAUCCAACAUGGGGAGGGAAAGGAAGUGCAUUCUCUGUCAGAUCGUAUACAGCUCCAAACAGGAGAUGGAUGAGCAUAACUGAAGAGCAUGCUGCAUC